CCUACGGGAGGCAGCAGUGAGGAAUAUUGGUCAAUGGACGAGAGUCUGAACCAGCCAAGUAGCGUGAAGGAUGACUGCCCUAUGGGUUGUAAACUUCUUUUAUAUGGGAAUAAAACGUUCCACGUGUGGGAUUUUGUAUGUACCAUAUGAAUAAGGAUCGGCUAACUCCGUGCCCUCAGCCGCGGUAAUACGGAGGAUCCGAGCUUUAUCCGGAUUUAUUGGGUUUAAAGGGAGCGUAGGUGGAUUGUUAAGUCAGUUGUGAAAGUUUGCGGCUCAACCGUAAAAUUGCAGUUGAAACUGGCAGUCUUGAGUACAGUAGAGGUGGGCGGAAUUCGUGGUGUAGCGGUGAAAUGCUUAGAUAUCACGAAGAACUCCGAUUGCGAAGGCAGUUCACUGGACUGCAACUGACACUGAUGCUCGAAAGUGUGGGUAUCAAACAGGAUUAGAUACCCCAGUAGUC
rnacentral:rRNA from 1 species